AUACUUACCUGGCAGGGGAGAUACCAUGAUCAAGCAGGCGGGCUCACCCAGGGCGAAAGGCUCACAGCUUUAUUGCACUCCGGCUGUGUUGACCCCUGCAAAUUCCCCAAACGUGGGAGUCUUGACUGCAUAAUUUUUGCUAGUGGGUGCUGCGUCCGCGCUUUCCCCCG